GGGUUGUGAGGUUAAGCGACUAAGCGUACACGGUGGAUGCCCUGGCAGUCAGAGGCGAUGAAGGGCGUGCUAAUCUGCGAUAAGCGCCGGUAAGGUGAUAUGAACCGUUAUAACCGGCGAUACCCGAAUGGGGAAACCCAGUGUGACUCGUCACACUAUCAUUAACUGAAUCCAUAGGUUAAUGAGGCGAACCGGGGGAACUGAAACAUCUAAGUACCCCGAGGAAAAGAAAUCAACCGAGAUUCCCCCAGUAGCGGCGAGCGAACGGGGAGGAGCCCAGAGCCUGAAUCAGCAUGUGUGUUAGUGGAAGCGUCUGGAAAGGCGCGCGAUACAGGGUGACAGCCCCGUACACAAAAGCGCAUGUGCUGUGAGCUCGAUGAGUAGGGCGGGACACGUGGUAUCCUGUCUGAAUAUGGGGGGACCAUCCUCCAAGGCUAAAUACUCCUGACUGACCGAUAGUGAACCAGUACCGUGAGGGAAAGGCGAAAAGAACCCCGGCGAGGGGAGUGAAAAAGAACCUGAAACCGUGUACGUACAAGCAGUGGGAGCCCCACCACCAAAGCGUUUCGCUUUGUGUGGUGCACAAAGAAGCGUAACGACAGCACUGAAUGACGGUUAACGGAGCGCAAGCGACGUUCAACAUACAAAGUCAAGCAGUGGAGCGCUUUGGGGUGGGGUGACUGCGUACCUUUUGUAUAAUGGGUCAGCGACUUAUAUUCUGUAGCAAGGUUAACCGAAUAGGGGAGCCGGAGGGAAACCGAGUCUUAACCGGGCGUUAAGUUGCAGGGUAUAGACCCGAAACCCGGUGAUCUAGCCAUGGGCAGGUUGAAGGUUGGGUAACACUAACUGGAGGACCGAACCGACUAAUGUUGAAAAAUUAGCGGAUGACCUGUGGCUGGGGGUGAAAGGCCAAUCAAACCGGGAGAUAGCUGGUUCUCCCCGAAAGCUAUUUAGGUAGCGCCUCGUGAAUUCAUCUCCGGGGGUAGAGCACUGUUUCGGCUAGGGGGCCAUCCCGGCUUACCAACCCGAUGCAAACUGCGAAUACCGGAGAAUGUUAUCACGGGAGACACACGGCGGGUGCUAACGUCCGUCGUGAAGAGGGAAACAACCCAGACCGCCAGCUAAGGUCCCAAAGUCAUGGUUAAGUGGGAAACGAUGUGGGAAGGCCCAGACAGCCAGGAUGUUGGCUUAGAAGCAGCCAUCAUUUAAAGAAAGCGUAAUAGCUCACUGGUCGAGUCGGCCUGCGCGGAAGAUGUAACGGGGCUAAACCAUGCACCGAAGCUGCGGCAGCGACGCUUAUGCGUUGUUGGGUAGGGGAGCGUUCUGUAAGCCUGUGAAGGUGGCCUGUGAGGGUUGCUGGAGGUAUCAGAAGUGCGAAUGCUGACAUAAGUAACGAUAAAGCGGGUGAAAAGCCCGCUCGCCGGAAGACCAAGGGUUCCUGUCCAACGUUAAUCGGGGCAGGGUGAGUCGACCCCUAAGGCGAGGCCGAAAGGCGUAGUCGAUGGGAAACGGGUUAAUAUUCCCGUACUUGGUGUUACUGCGAAGGGGGGACGGAGAAGGCUAUGUUGGCCGGGCGACGGUUGUCCCGGUUUAAGCGUGUAGGUGUGUGUUCCAGGUAAAUCCGGUUCACUUUAACACUGAGGCGUGAUGACGAGGCACUACGGUGCUGAAGCAACAAAUGCCCUGCUUCCAGGAAAAGCCUCUAAGCAUCAGGUAACAUCAAAUCGUACCCCAAACCGACACAGGUGGUCAGGUAGAGAAUACCAAGGCGCUUGAGAGAACUCGGGUGAAGGAACUAGGCAAAAUGGUGCCGUAACUUCGGGAGAAGGCACGCUGAUAUGUAGGUGAAGCGGUUUACCCGUGGAGCUGAAAUCAGUCGAAGAUACCAGCUGGCUGCAACUGUUUAUUAAAAACACAGCACUGUGCAAACACGAAAGUGGACGUAUACGGUGUGACGCCUGCCCGGUGCCGGAAGGUUAAUUGAUGGGGUCAGCGCAAGCGAAGCUCCUGAUCGAAGCCCCGGUAAACGGCGGCCGUAACUAUAACGGUCCUAAGGUAGCGAAAUUCCUUGUCGGGUAAGUUCCGACCUGCACGAAUGGCGUAAUGAUGGCCAGGCUGUCUCCACCCGAGACUCAGUGAAAUUGAACUCGCUGUGAAGAUGCAGUGUACCCGCGGCAAGACGGAAAGACCCCGUGAACCUUUACUAUAGCUUGACACUGAACAUUGAGCCUUGAUGUGUAGGAUAGGUGGGAGGCUUUGAAGCGUGGACGCCAGUCUGCGUGGAGCCGACCUUGAAAUACCACCCUUUAAUGUUUGAUGUUCUAACGUGGACCCGUUACCCGGGUUGCGGACAGUGUCUGGUGGGUAGUUUGACUGGGGCGGUCUCCUCCUAAAGAGUAACGGAGGAGCACGAAGGUUGGCUAAUCCUGGUCGGACAUCAGGAGGUUAGUGCAAUGGCAUAAGCCAGCUUGACUGCGAGCGUGACGGCGCGAGCAGGUGCGAAAGCAGGUCAUAGUGAUCCGGUGGUUCUGAAUGGAAGGGCCAUCGCUCAACGGAUAAAAGGUACUCCGGGGAUAACAGGCUGAUACCGCCCAAGAGUUCAUAUCGACGGCGGUGUUUGGCACCUCGAUGUCGGCUCAUCACAUCCUGGGGCUGAAGUAGGUCCCAAGGGUAUGGCUGUUCGCCAUUUAAAGUGGUACGCGAGCUGGGUUUAGAACGUCGUGAGACAGUUCGGUCCCUAUCUGCCGUGGGCGCUGGAGAACUGAGGGGGGCUGCUCCUAGUACGAGAGGACCGGAGUGGACGCAUCACUGGUGUUCGGGUUGUCAUGCCAAUGGCACUGCCCGGUAGCUAAAUGCGGAAGAGAUAAGUGCUGAAAGCAUCUAAGUACGAAACUUGCCCCGAGAUGAGUUCUCCCUGAGACUUUAGGUCUCCUGAAGGAACGUUGAAGACGACGACGUUGAUAGGCCGGGUGUGUAAGCGCAGCGAUGCGUUGAGCUAACCGGUACUAAUGAACCGUGAGGCUUAACCUUACAACGCCGAAG
rnacentral:rRNA from 2 species